AGUGAACGCUGGCGGUAGGCCUAACACAUGCCAGUCGAACGGCAGCACAGUAAGAGCUUGCUCUUACGGGUGGCGAGUGGCGGACGGGUGAGGAAUACAUCGGAAUCUACUUUUUCGUGGGGGAUAACGUAGGGAAACUUACGCUAAUACCGCAUACGACCUACGGGUGAAAGCAGGGGAUCUUCGGACCUUGCGCGAUUGAAUGAGCCGAUGUCGGAUUAGCUAGUUGGCGGGGUAAAGGCCCACCAAGGCGACGAUCCGUAGCUGGUCUGAGAGGAUGAUCAGCCACACUGGAACUGAGACACGGUCCAGACUCCUACGGGAGGCAGCAGUGGGGAAUAUUGGACAAUGGGCGCAAGCCUGAUCCAGCCAUACCGCGUGGGUGAAGAAGGCCUUCGGGUUGUAAAGCCCUUUCGUUGGGAAAGAAAAGCAGCAGGUUAAUACCCCGCUGUUCUGACGGUACCCAAAGAAUAAGCACCGGCUAACUUCGUG
rnacentral:rRNA from 1 species